rnacentral:rRNA from 1 species
ACAGCAGUAGCCGCGGGAACACAGAGGGUGCGAGCGUUAAUCGGAUUUACUGGGCGUAAAGCGUGCGUAGGCGGCUUCUUAAGUCGGAUGUGAAAUCCCUGAGCUUAACUUAGGAAUUGCAUUCGAUACUGGGAAGCUAGAGUAUGGGAGAGGAUGGUAGAAUUCCAGGUGUAGCGGUGAAAUGCGUAGAGAUCUGGAGGAAUACCGAUGGCGAAGGCAGCCAUCUGGCCUAAUACUGACGCUGAGGUACGAAAGCAUGGGGAGCAAACAGGAUUAGAUACCCCAGUAGUCCCUGUCUCUUAUAC